CCUACGGGCGGCAGCAGUGAGGAAUAUUGGUCAAUGGACGAGAGUCUGAACCAGCCAAGUAGCGUGAAGGAUGACUGCCCUAUGGGUUGUAAACUUCUUUUAUAUGGGAAUAAAACGUUCCACGUGUGGGAUUUUGUAUGUACCAUAUGAAUAAGGAUCGGCUAACUCCGUGCCAGCAGCCGCGGUAAUACGGAGGAUCCGAGCGUUAUCCGGAUUUAUUGGGUUUAAAGGGAGCGUAGGUGGAUUGUUAAGUCAGUUGUGAAAGUUUGCGGCUCAACCGUAAAAUUGCAGUUGAAACUGGCAGUCUUGAGUACAGUAGAGGUGGGCGGAAUUCGUGGUGUAGCGGUGAAAUGCUUAGAUAUCACGAAGAACUCCGAUUGCGAAGGCAGUUCACUGGACCGCAACUGACACUGAGGCUCGAAAGUGUGGGUAUCAAACAGGAUUAGAUACCCUUGUAGUC
rnacentral:rRNA from 1 species